rnacentral:lncRNA from 1 species
UUGAGUCUUCUCAGCUCUGUGACUACAUCAAUGACCCCAACAUGACUCGGCCUGUGGAUGACAUUCCGGACCGGCCAGCUGGGGUUGGAGUUUACACAGCCAUGUGGCAGCUGGCCUUGGCACUGAUCUUCAAAAUAGUCAUUACUAUAUUUACCUUUGGCAUGAAGGUAAGUGAAGCAGAAAGAAGGGGAAGUGUGUAUGUUUUUUGGGGUGCAGCAAAUUAUUUUCCAAAUAAAAUUAUGAUUCAAAGAAGAGAAA